rnacentral:ncRNA from 1 species
CGCAGUGACGCGGGGUGUCCCGGACGCCGGGACUGAGAUCACACCCGUCGAACCUGAUCCAGAUCAUGCUGGCGAAGGGACUGUCGCACGAUGGUCAC